AUUAGGCUUGGUCUGUGGCAGAAUGGUGCCCAAGCAGGGACCCCUGGACAGGAUGACAUGUCAUGCAAUAUUAAAAUGAAAAGUGACUUUGUGUGCUGGUAUAAGAAGAUCUUGAAGAUAGAGAUGACAGACCACCUGGACAAUGCUUCCUGAUCGUUUUUGUUAAAGAUGCUUGUAAAUCUUAUCUCAUCUAGAGCAAGUGACCGAGGUCAGUUCCCAGUAAGCUGCCACCUUUUCCUCAGCUACCACUUCAGAAUUCAAGGGGUGUCCUCGGUGUUCUGUAUGACCCAAGGAAUCCAUUGAGCACCUAUGGCAAGAUCAAGAUGCCUUAAACACAGGACCUCCUCCUGUCAUCGCGAGCUGACCCAGAAGUCGCAGCCAGCACAGACCCACUGCGGCCUGGGAAAGAUGCAGCUUUCACAGUACUCUUUCACGUCUGGGAUGUCUUUGGCAUCUUCAUCUGCAUACCUUCUUUUGCUGCAGGAACACUCUGCUUGGACAGAUGGCAUAUUUGGACACAUUUACAGGAUGACAUGUCAUGCAAUAUUAAAAUGAAAAGUGACUCUGUGUGCUGGCCUAAGAAGAUCUUGAAGAUAGAGAUGACAGACCACCUGGACAAUGCUUCCUGAUCGUUUUUGUUAAAGGACUGUCACCCUGAAUCGGGAGGCUCCUGGCACUUUGCCCUUCUGCUUGUUGACAUCCCCUGAAGGAGGAGUUCUCAGGACACAUCAGGUGAAUUCUAGCCAUAACAUCAGGCUCCAAAGAGUUUUCUAGCUAAUAAUGUCCACUAUUGAAGACGUUUCGUUCUUGUCUAUUUGCUGGAUGCCUGGGUUAGCAGAAGCUUGUCUAAGGAGUCACUGCCUGUGUUGAAGUGGGCUCUGCAGUGAAAUAGCUGUUGGGAAGUUACCCAAGCUCCUGUAAGUAACCUCACACUGGACUCCUUAGCAACCCCGAAGGAAGCUCAGUAGAUCCUCAAGUUGAAUGUCUGCACAGUUG
rnacentral:lncRNA from 1 species